rnacentral:rRNA from 1 species
UACGUAGGGUGCAAGCGUUGUCCGGAAUUAUUGGGCGUAAAGAGCUCGUAGGCGGUCUGUCACGUCGGCUGUGAAAACCCGGGGCUCAACUCCGGGCCUGCAGUCGAUACGGGCAGACUAGAGUUCGGUAGGGGAGACUGGAAUUCCUGGUGUAGCGGUGAAAUGCGCAGAUAUCAGGAGGAACACCGGUGGCGAAGGCGGGUCUCUGGGCCGAAACUGACGCUGAGGAGCGAAAGCGUGGGGAGCGAACAGG